CUUACAGUAACAAAUGCACUGUCCUUUGUGGGGCAGACUCCCAGAUCAAAUCCAGUCUCCUGGUCAAGGUUACUGGUGGUCUCCUCAAUAGGCACUGUGAGGGAGGAAUUAGUAACUCUGGUUGUUGUCUCCGGUGAGUCUGUUUCUGCUUCGUGGCUGGACAGACUUUGCUUGAGACACUCUCUGACCAAACUUGUACCCUCCUGAACGGUG